UUCUGUUUUUGUUUUGUUUUGUUUUUAAAGCCCUUGUACCUGAAAGUUUUGUUGUUUAAUUGAUUUUUUUUUCUUGGAAGAAUAUAGAUAAGGAACUCACAAGCAAAUAAACACUGAGGCUACAGUCCAGGUAUUUAUGGAAUGCCAAUCCUAUCUGGGGCAAAGAUCUUCUAAGUGGUUAUCCUCCUGAAAAAAUACCCAGUCAGAGCUACUAGAAGAAGAAGGCAAAGGUCUUUGCACUGUCAAAGAGUUUCUACAGAGUCUGUCAACUCCGUGGCCAUCCUCAGGAUUCGUCUCACUGUGAAGACCGCUCUGUGCCUCUCUGGGCAUAUCCGAAAAGCGAGGUCUCAACACACCCUGUUCCUAGCCUACCAUUUGCAUGCCCAAUAUCAGUGUUCCACUCUGAAAGAAUGAGAAACAUUUAAUUAACUAAUGAAGUGGGUAAUGGGUACCUCAGCAGUAGAGACUUUCUGCACUCCAGUGAUUAGUUUUGGGGUUUCAUCCAAAACCCAAUAAGAGAACUCUUCAGUGCCGUUAGAGAAAGACAAGCAUUUCCAAGAAAAAGGAAAAAUUGAAUAUCUGCAUUUUCAGCAGUGACUAGUAUUGGUUAUUCCUCAGUUUUGAAGUUCACAAGCAGAGAAUUCAAAGGAAACAUUGGAAGGAAGUCCAAAUGAAAAGGGGCCCCAAUUUCAGGUUGAUGGUAUUUUCUGCUAUUUAAACUCCUCUUUUGAUGUAUCUCCAGUCAGGCAUCUGAAUCACUAGUCAUUUUAGAACUCUCCGGCUCAUUCUUUUCUUUAUUCCUCAUCUUUUUCUCUUUUCCUCUUCUCUUUUGUAUUAAGGUCAAAUCCUGCUUCUCCUGAUGCCAAUAAUAAAACUCCCAUUGAUUUCAACAUGAGCAGGAAAUAUGCAGUUUGCUAUUUACCACAACCACCACAAUGAAUCUCUGGGAAGAAUUCAUUUACAUUCAUUCCAAGGAUACCAUGAAAAAUGGGCUCUUGCUAUUUUAUCACAUCCAAACUGUUGCUCUAACUCUAACGUCCUAGCUGUUGCUAACAAGUCAGUGAUGAUUUGUAAACCAACAAUUUAUGGUAACCACAUUCCAUCCCCAUUAUGAUGUGUGGUUUGGAAAUGGAAAAGUAAUCAAGACCUCCUGUUAAGAGACUUUAUUUCAGUUGAAUGUUUCUGUAAAUAAAAGCAUUUUGAAAGGAUCAUUGCUAUAUAUUUCUAACUCCAAAUUGUUCAUUUGAUCUAGGCCCCAUCUACACUCCAAAUUCCUGCCAGGCUCUGUCUGUCAGGAGUGUGAGAUCCCCAACAGUGGCAUGAGCAUGCUGGCAAAAUUGUUUCCAUCAGUAUAAGUAUUUUCACUCAAUUGGAUAGUUUCACUAGACUGGAACAGCAGUUCCAUUUCUUGGAGACAGCUAUGUCCAUUCUUUGGAAUACUUUAUAAUAUUUUAUCAGCAGACUGUAAGGGUACACUGACAUAAAUAUAUGCCUCCUACUACUGUUACAGUGAUAGUUGAAAAAUUAUAGUCAGACCCAUGGUAUGUAGUAAUGCCCUUGGGAACUAAGAGCCUGCGUAGUUUUCUGCAACACUUUGUCUUGGUCAUAAGGAUUGUGGGCAAUCACUGUGACACUAAGGAGCACUUUCCAGCACUUUGAUGGGAGACCACCUAGAAUUACUGGUAAAUAGGCUCAAAUAAGGGAAUUUUGUUCAAGUACAAGGUUCUGGUACCAAAUACAUUGAAAAACUUCUUUUGAUCUCUUUGACACUAAUAUAGACUAUCUUUCAACCCUGCGUAAGAACCCUGCAGCCUGGAUUUGAGGUGAGAGUCAAUAUUUGUGGUAACCUGCUAAAGGAGUUAUCAAAUUAAGGAGUUCACAGACUGCCCUAGU